rnacentral:rRNA from 1 species
GACGAACGCUGGCGGCGUGCUUAACACAUGCAAGUCGAACGGAAAGGCCUGCUUUCCCUUGUGGAUUGCGGGUACUCGAGUGGCGAACGGGUGAGUAACACGUGAGUGAUCUGCCCCCAACUUGGGUAUAAGCCUGGGAAACUGGGUCUAAUUCCCGAUAGGACUGCAGGGUGGUGCCUGUGGUGGAAAACGAUUUUCUAGUGGUUGGGGAUGAGCUCGCGGCCUAUCAGCUUGUUGGUGGGGUAAUGGCCUACCAAGGCGGCGACGGGUAGCCGGGCUGGGAGGGUGGACGGCCACAUUGGGACUGAGAGACGGCCCAGACUCCUACGGGAGGCAGCAGUGGGGAAUAUUGCACAAUGGGCGGGAGCCUGAUGCAGCGACGCCGCGUGGGGGAUGACGGCCUUCGGGUUGUAAACUCCUUUCGACCGCGAGGAAGCCACCUGGUUGGAAGGGUGGUGACGGUAGUGGUAGAAGAAGCACCGGCUAACUACGUG